rnacentral:lncRNA from 1 species
CUUUAAAGUUUUAUUGUCAGAUCUUGUUUCAUUAACACAAUUAUGCAAGAAAGCGUUAUAUUAAACUGCUGGGAUUACAGACAUGAGCCACCAUGCCCAGCUAGAAAAUUCUUUAUGACACAAAAUUUGUCUCCCUGUUUCUUCCACCAACUGGACUUGGGACCACUGAGAACAACUAUUAUGCCUUUCUCAACAGGCUGUUCUUCAGAUGUUUGAAGUUAAUGGUCACGUCUUUCAGUCUAGUCUUUCCAGAAUAAAUAUUUUUCAUUGCCUCAUUGUUCCUUGUAUAAUAUGGUGUGAGACCCUUCCCACCCUCAUCUGUCUCUGAGCACCCUUGCCUGUCAGAGUACUUGUGAAGGUAUAUAGCCUUCAACCAUUCAGAGUGGGGAGAGCAAUGAUUGUUCUGUUGUUUUAGAUUUUAUAUUUUUAUUAAUGUGCCAAGACCACGUUAGUGCCUGGGAAAUUUCUUAUCUAAAUAUUAAUACACCUUAAGCUUACUAUAAAAGAAAACUUCCAAGUUCUUUUCAUGAAAACUUUACAUCUUCUUUAUGCCUACUUGUUCAGCUGGUUUUGGCCUCAAAUUUUUAAUGUAAAAAAAUUUUUCAGUUUUAUAUUUUUCAUGAAGUCACCAUGUCUGUCUUAAUAGCACAAUAGAGAAGCA